rnacentral:rRNA from 1 species
AGAGCUUGCUCUCGGGUGACGAGCGGCGGACGGGUGAGUAAUGUCUGGGAAACUGCCUGAUGGAGGGGGAUAACUACUGGAAACGGUAGCUAAUACCGCAUAACGUCGCAAGACCAAAGUGGGGGACCUUCGGGCCUCAUGCCAUCAGAUGUGCCCAGAUGGGAUUAGCUAGUAGGUGGGGUAAUGGCUCACCUAGGCGACGAUCCCUAGCUGGUCUGAGAGGAUGACCAGCCACACUGGAACUGAGACACGGUCCAGACUCCUACGGGAGGCAGCAGUGGGGAAUAUUGCACAAUGGGCGCAAGCCUGAUGCAGCCAUGCCGCGUGUAUGAAGAAGGCCUUCGGGUUGUAAAGUACUUUCAGCGAGGAGGAAGGCNGAUUGACGUUACUCGCAGAAGAAGCACCGGCUAACUCCGUGCCAGCAGCCGCGGUAAUACGGAGGGUGCAAGCGUUAAUCGGAAUUACUGGGCGUAAAGCGCACGCAGGCGGUCUGUCAAGUCGGAUGUGAAAUCCCCGGGCUCAACCUGGGAACUGCAUUCGAAACUGGCAGGCUAGAGUCUUGUAGAGGGGGGUAGAAUUCCAGGUGUAGCGGUGAAAUGCGUAGAGAUCUGGAGGAAUACCGGUGGCGAAGGCGGCCCCCUGGACAAAGACUGACGCUCAGGUGCGAAAGCGUGGGGAGCAAACAGGAUUAGAUACCCUGGUAGUCCACGCCGUAAACGAUGUCGACUUGGAGGUUGUGCCCUUGAGGCGUGGCUUCCGGAGCUAACGCGUUAAGUCGACCGCCUGGGGAGUACGGCCGCAAGGUUAAAACUCAAAUGAAUUGACGGGGGCCCGCACAAGCGGUGGAGCAUGUGGUUUAAUUCGAUGCAACGCGAAGAACCUUACCUACUCUUGACAUCCAGAGAACUUAGCAGAGAUGCUUUGGUGCCUUCGGGAACUCUGAGACAGGUGCUGCAUGGCUGUCGUCAGCUCGUGUUGUGAAAUGUUGGGUUAAGUCCCGCAACGAGCGCAACCCUUAUCCUUUGUUGCCAGCGGUCCGGCCGGGAACUCAAAGGAGACUGCCAGUGAUAAACUGGAGGAAGGUGGGGAUGACGUCAAGUCAUCAUGGCCCUUACGAGUAGGGCUACACACGUGCUACAAUGGCAUAUACAAAGAGAAGCGACCUCGCGAGAGCAAGCGGACCUCAUAAAGUAUGUCGUAGUCCGGAUUGGAGUCUGCAACUCGACUCCAUGAAGUCGGAAUCGCUAGUAAUCGUAGAUCAGAAUGCUACGGUGAAUACGUUCCCGGGCCUUGUACACACCGCCCGUCACACCAUGGGAGUGGGUUGCAAAAGAAGUAGGUAGCUUAACCUUCGGGAGGGCGCUUACCACUUUGUGAUUCAUGACUGGGGUGAAGUCGUAACAAGGUAACCGUAGGGGAACCUGCGGUUGGAUCACCU